CGAGAGAAGAGUCUACAAGUUGUCAGCUGAAGCAGGUGGUGGCUGGCAUAACAGAUCAUCAGAUGUCACACUAUGAUCCCGUCCUGCUGGCUGUCCCAUUUAUACAGACAUCGUUUCGGUGCUGUUACUGCCUCUGAUGCUGCCUUAAAGCCCCUCCCAGCGAAGAUGUGAGAGAUGCAAGAAAGUCUCUUCUCUCCUUGUCUCCUCAAAUUGCAUUAAAAGGGUUGGAAAGUUCUCCAUGAUUUUGGAGGGUGAACAAUUUCACAGGAGGAGGGAGGAUGCGAGGAAACGCAAGUUGCCAGAGUAUAACUUUGCCGUUGCUGCGAGGCUGCUGUGCUGGAGGCCGAUGGAGACCUUCCAGAGCCUGAGCUGCUGAGAGGAAACACCGACUGUUGGUGCCUUUGCUCAAAUUGGCCUCCAAUGCCAACAGAAACAGAAUCAUUCUGCAGCAAUAAAUUUCAGUGUGAUGGGUGCUGGAGACCUUCAGGAUCCCGCAGAUAGACUGAAGAAGAUGACCAAGACCAGCAGGAUGGAGAGGGCAGGUCACCACUGAGUACUUUUUCACCUACCCUUUUGGGAUUAUGGCAUGCUGUGGGGUGCCACAGGCUGGAGUUGAACCCGGACCUCCCGCGUCAUCAUCUUUGGAUGCUUGAAGUUGCCUCUGUAGUCACCCCUGUGUUGAGGUCAGAGGGCGAGCCGAUGUCAGGUCGUUGGAACCAAGGAAAGUGGAGAUGAUGCCGUUCUGGUCCACCUUCCUGAUUGUGGUGCCAUCAACAAAAUAAAUCAGGCCAUUCUUGCCCACGGCGAUGCCUGUUGACAUCAGGUGAGAGAGGGAGGGGAAAAGGAGAAAAGAAGAGAAAGGAAAAAAAAACUUGUGAUAACAGCAAAACAUGGUAGAUAUGCGGCAUCUCUGCUUGCAUGACUCAGUGGACGGAACACGAUGGAUACAUGUGUCAAGCUUGCCUUCCCAUUAUUCAGGUCACUGCAAAAAGCACAGCCAUCAAUAAUUCACGGGUUGCUUUUCUGGUAUUAAAUAAUUUCUCAGGCAGAAGUGGGAAAGGCUGUAUUCAUACGGUACAUAUGCACUCGCCGCGUCUUGUAACCCUCCCCUCUAAAAAAAGGACCUCAUGAGGUGGGGAUGUCAAUGAGUGGUGCGUUUUGGAGGUUUUUUGACAUCGGCAAUCAUCAACAAUCUGCACACCAUUUGAGAAAUGAAUGAGCGAGGGAGCGGAAAUGACAGCUUCGGCCAAUUUUAGAUGAAAGGGGUGAAAGACAGGCAGUUGCCAUGGUGACAACUGUGGACUAAAUUGUCUCAAUGAUUGAGUGUCAGCUCAGAGUUUUAAGUCGCAGCCGAGCCAGUGUGGCAUUGCUUUAACCAUUUGUCCCAAACUGGGAAAAUACAUCAACGGGCCACGCCAGCCUCCACAUCACUCUGCGUCGCCGUGCUGCUUAAUAGAGACCAGCACCUAUGGGACUUCAAUCAUAACUCACAUGCAGGGAGACUAUUUUUUCAUUCCCCAUGUUGGUUUUAACACCAUGUGGUUUUGGGUUUGAUUCUACGGAGUGAGAGCGGCUAAUCUCAGGAGCAUAUUUGUAGAGUGAAACAUUCUUUAGUUUCUGGAGGGUUUUAAAAUGUUUUGAAUAAACUUUAACUUCAGUUUUACCCCCAGAGCAUGAUUUCUUUUUCAAUGAAGUCUUUAAAAGCUUCUAUGGAAGGUGAGUGGUUUGGUUUGACCUGUGGCUAGGUCUGCGCAAGAUUGCUUUCUGCUAAAACAUUUACGAGUUGAGGGAGCCCACGGUGAAUCCUUGGGAGCUGGCGAUUUGACAGUCUGAGAUUCUCAGACAGAUGAAAAGUGUCACAUUUGAGCAGAGUUCACCAAAUGUCUGAGAGCAGAAAAAAAAAUGGAGCCAUCUGCUGUUUCUUCUCUGGUCCCGGCUUCCACCCACUCCAUCAUUAGAGUCGCUGCCUCAGAUUGCCUUCACUCAAGCCUUUAUCACCCAGCUGAAGCUGAGCUAUUGCAGUUGGCAUUCAGAGCGGGCAACAACUAGCGCAAAACAAUUCAUCUCAGCCUUUUCAUCCAGAAGAAUUUAUGGAAAAGUGAGCAAUCCAACCACAAAUGGCACAAAUGGCCAUGUGCUAUUUGAAUGUGGACAACACGUUGUGCAUAGCGGGUAUAACUUGUGGAUGGCUGUCACUUGAAUCUUUAAAGGACUGGAGACUUUACUUUCACAAGAGCUGUUUGAGAAAAGCAUCUCGAAGGAUCAACUCGCAAUUUUAAAGGAUAUUUACAGGAAUAUCCAAUUAUGCUGAAUAAAUUAUGCAUUAUUUUUCUGGAGGUUAAAACAACAAUAACUUUCUGAUAGGCAGCAGCAGUAAAAGCCUUAAAAAGACAGUUCACCCCA